ACGGAGGAUCCGAGCGUUAUCCGGAUUUAUUGGGUUUAAAGGGAGCGUAGGCGGAUGCUUAAGUCAGUUGUGAAAGUUUGCGGCUCAACCGUAAAAUUGCAGUUGAUACUGGGCGUCUUGAGUACAGUAGAGGCAGGCGGAAUUCGUGGUGUAGCGGUGAAAUGCUUAGAUAUCACGAAGAACUCCGAUUGCGAAGGCAGCCUGCUGGACUGUCACUGACGCUGAUGCUCGAAAGUGUGGGUAUCAAACAG
rnacentral:rRNA from 1 species